CUGCCGUGAUGGGAACAUUUUUCGUCAACAGCAUCUCACCCCCGUGAAUGGUGACUCCUGUGGGCUGAGCAG